GUNGCGAUGGCCGAGUGGUUAAGGCGUUAGACUAGAAAUCUAAUGGGGUCUCCCCGCGCAGGUUCAAAUCCUGCUCGCGACG
rnacentral:tRNA from 1 species